rnacentral:rRNA from 1 species
AAGACCUUGUGCUUUUGGAGCGGCCGAUGCCUGAUUAGCUAGUUGGUAAGGUAAAGGCUUACCAAGGCUUCGAUCAGUAGUUGGUCUGAGAGGACGACCAGCCACACUGGGACUGAGACACGGCCCAGACUCCUACGGGAGGCAGCAGUGGGGAAUUUUGGACAAUGGGGGAAACCCUGAUCCAGCCAUGCCGCGUGAGUGAAGAAGGCCUUCGGGUUGUAAAGCUCUUUCAGUUGAGAAGAAAAAAUCACGACUAAUAAUUGUGAUUCAUGACGGUAUCAACAGAAGAAGCACCGGCUAACUACGUGCCAGCAGCCGCGGUAAUACGUAGGGUGCAAGCGUUAAUCGGAAUUACUGGGCGUAAAGGGUGCGCAGGCGGUUUUGUAAGUCAGAUGUGAAAUCCCCGGGCUUAACCUGGGAACU